rnacentral:rRNA from 1 species
UACAGAGGUGGCAAGCGUUGUCCGGAUUUACUGGGCGUAAAGAGCGUGUAGGCGGCUCGAUAAGUCCGCUGUGAAAGUCCAGGGCUCAACCCUGGAAGGCCGGUGGAAACUGUCGGGCUAGAGUCCGGAAGAGGCGAGUGGAAUUCCCGGUGUAGCGGUGAAAUGCGCAGAUAUCGGGAGGAACACCAAUGGCGAAGGCAGCUCGCUGGGACGGUACUGACGCUGAGACGCGAAAGCGUGGGGAGCAAACAGG